AUCUCAUCCAAUAUGACACAAGAAUUCGAGCCCCCCGCCCCCCUCCCUCGGGCAUACCAGGGGCAUUCACUCAAUUUGGUGUGUGAAAUUCAGUGAAGUUCCCUGCAGCCAGGACAAAAUGGCAAGGUAAAUUUCUUCGGUUCUAUCAUCCCCAGGUAUUCAAUUGGAAUUUUUACUUGAAAUUUCCCAAACUAUUCCUUUACUGUUCUGUUAUUCACUUCUGUAAAAGACUUUCCUAGCCGACUGCUUUAUUUCAGCAUUUAUAUAAAAGACUAAGCCUUUCC
rnacentral:lncRNA from 1 species